GUUGACCUCGGAUCAGGUAGGAAUACCCGCUGAACUUAAGCAUAUCAAUAAGCGGAGAGAA
rnacentral:rRNA from 1 species